rnacentral:snoRNA from 1 species
AAUCCAUGAUGAGGGCAUUGAGCUUGGUAGCCUUUGAAUCUCUCCCAGGCUUCACUGAAUCCUUCCAAUCCUUUCUGUUGAAAGCUGGAGAUCUCAUUUCUCAGCUU